rnacentral:pre_miRNA from 12 species
CUCCCACCACCACUUUGGCCUCCCUGGCUUUAGCAGCACAGAAAUAUUGGCACCUGAAGGAAAGUCAUGCCAGUAUUGAAAGUGCUGCUCCAGACAGGAUGGCUACAGCAGCUAUGGGGAGA